AUGACGAAGCAGCCUAUGAAGGUGUACAAAUGGGACCUGGAUGAGACACUUAUUUUGCUCAAGUCACUUCUGGUUGGCUCAUAUGCUAGGGAUUUUGAAGGCCUCAAGGAUCGUGAGAAAAGUACUCAAACAAGGAAGCGAUGGGAGAACCUCAUUUUAGAACUCUGUGAUGUGCACUUCUUUUAUGAGGAGCGGAGUGCCGGUCCAAGAGAGAUUCACCAAGCCUUUUCAGUCAUGCCAGGAGCAUCAUGUACGCCCUCAAGGAGAAGAAGAUUGACAUGGUGAUUGCUUCUUGCUCCCCACCUCGGACAUAGCCAAGGUGUUCCAAGACAAGUUAGAGCUCCAGCCCAUGUUUGUCGCCCAAGUAAGAAUCCUUCCUCAACCGGUCGUAAUCUUCGUGUAUGUUGUUGUUUCCCUUUCUGCAUAUAAGAAUUCCUUAAUACGCCAUAGUUCAAGCAAAUUCUUCUUAGAAAACAGGGCCAUCGAUAGCAUAUGAAACUAAAAUGGCCCUUUAUGUGGCUAUGUCGCUAUAUGCAAGCAAAGAGCGAUGUGAUGCGAACAAACAAUGUAUCGUGCAGUUUUUUGAGGGUUGCUAAGGGUUACUGUUAAUUUCAUCAAGCACAUUGGUAGUGGACACUUUAUAUUAAUUUUUUUUUGUUAUUUAUGGGUUCUUUUAGAGCCACAGAUUAGAUUAAUGUACGUUGUCCACAAACUCUUAACACCGACAAACUAUCCUUCAGGAGGCGCUAGGCAAGGAGGUGAGUAAUACCUAUUACCUCGUGCUCCAUCCAAAUCCCAAAAGUGUAACUCCUCUACAGCUAGCACCAACACAUGAUUGUUUUGUGCAAAUGUUUAGGUGUGUUAAAAUGAUUAUGAGCAAUAGUCUGAUUUGAUGGUUGAGUUAUUUUCAAAUAUUAAGAUAGUUUACCUUUUAACGUUAUCAACACAUUGAUAUGCUACAUGAUCUCUGUCCGUGCAAUCUUUUGAUAUGUUACAGAAUGCACUAUUCCUAAUUUGUUUUCAUGGAGUUAUUCAUUAUUAUUUCUGAUGUAAGAUCCAUCCUUUUGUCCCAUGUUCUCUUAAGUUUGAUCAUUCACUACUUUAUGGUGUUCUUGGAUAGAAGUGCUUGGAAAGAACCUAUCCACAUGCCCAAACCGUGAUUAGGCCUUUUUUCUUUUUAGUGCUCCCAAAAGCUUUUCCUCCUCGCUUUGUUUGUCUUUCUCUUUUUUGUGACUUCUUGUCGGUUUUCAACUCCAUCCUACCCCAACUUGCUUUGGGGUUAUCUUGAUGUUGGUGUUGUCAUUUAAGCGUCUCUAUCUAUCCCAGUCCCCACUUACGUGGGAGCCUCUUGCACUGGGUCUGCCCUUUUUUAUCUAUUCCAAUAACUAAUUAUUGUGGAGUAACCAUUUGAUUUGUUUUUCAACUUCAUUCUUCAUUGUCUGAUUUAAAUUAAACUUAAAUGGGCAUGCUGAUUACUAAUGUUUUAUUUCAUUAUUAUUUACCAUAGUUUCCUCUUAUAAUGGAUAAUAUCUGAUGUUAUGUUUCUUUCACCAGUGGAAAUUUGCUCAUGUUACAUUCAGUAAGCCAGAAUACCUCCAAGAUUCAGAUAUUGUAAUGAACAGAUUCCAUAAACAGAGACCUGUUUAUGGAGGUUGGGAACAACACCAUGGAUUGGAGCAUACAUCCACUACCCAAAAAAGGUCCUACUUAGGCAACAACCAGGUAUCAUGCUUAAGAAUGCUCACAUUAAAAGACUUUACUGUUGCAUAAAAGUUGAACAUAUUCUGAUUAUGAUACUAGAGCAAUUAUAGAACUGCCAUUCUUUUGAGAAGCCUGUGAGGAUUUACAACUAAAGCUGGGAAUACUUUUUACAUGUGAUGAAUGAUGAACAGGAUAUGAAGGCAGCCUUGUUCCAAAAGCAGUCUUUUGGUGAUGUACAUGGAGCUUUUGCAUAGAGUAGUUUAUGUGGCAGUUAUCUCAAGAAUUUUCAUCUAGUGGAUGUACAGGGUUCGUAUAGCAACAUUUCCUUGUAGAAAGUUGAAGUUGUAUAUCGAGGGUGGAUUUACCUAUUUUUAUCUUUUCGACCCCAAGCCUCUGAGAAGCUGUGAACCAUAGCCUCAUGAAAUAUGCCUGCUCUUGAUUCAGUGUUUGUGUUUUUCUUGUUUGUCAUUAUUUUGCACUCGCUUUUAAUAUAACACACAUUUUGUA